UGUCAAUCAUAGCUGGGCAUGGUGGCGCAUGCUUGUAAUCCCAGUACUCCUGGUGACUGAGGCAGGAGGAUGGCAAAUUCAGGUACAUACUCAGCAAUUUAGGGAGACCCUGUCUCAGAAUAGAAAAUGAGCAAGGACUGAGGAGUGUGAAAGCCCUGGGUUCAAUCCCUAGUGUAGCACACACACACGCACACACACACACUCAAACACACGCACACGCAUGCAUGUGUACCCACCCGCCCACCAGGCCACACUGCUAAGAGAGCAUAAAUAGAACAGGAUGUGCAAAUGCUCUUGGCUUUUCCUCUCCUAGAAGCCUCAGGAUUGCAUCACCCUCCACCAUCCUGUGGUGUGGAGCUCAGCUGUCAUCCAGCAGGCCGGCUCUGGCCUCCGGGAGAGACCAUGACUGACAGUGGGUAACUAUAAUUCCAAAUGAAACAUGUACUAGAAGGAAAACGUACCAUCAAAUCACAAGAUAGCCGGACAUGUUGGUGCACACCUGGAAUCCCGUAUACUCUGGAGGCGGAGACAGGUAGAUCACAAGUUUGUUGUUG
rnacentral:lncRNA from 1 species